rnacentral:rRNA from 1 species
AUUCUAAAUAAAUUCUGCUCAAUGAAAUUAAUUAAAUAGCCGCAGUAAAUUAACUGUGCUAAGGUAGCAUAAUAAUUAGUUUUUUAAUUAAAAACUAGAAUGAAAGAGAAAAUGAAAAAUUAACUUUUUAAUUAUAAUAAAUAAAUAUAAAUUAAUUUAUAAGUUAAAAAUCUUAUAUAAAAUAAAAAGACAAGAAGACCCUUUAGAAUUUUAUAAAUAAAAAAAUUUAAUAAUUAUAAAUUUGAAUAUUUAUUAAGUUGGGGAGACUAUGAAAUAUUAAAAACUUUCACUUUUUUAAAACAAAAAUAAAUGAAUCUAUAAAUAUCCAGUUAACAGCCGAAUAAAAAACAAAUUACCUAAGGGAUAACAGCGUAAAAUUUCUAAAAAGAUCAAAUUUACAGAAUAAAUUACGACCUCGAUGUUGGAUUAAGAAAAAAUUAUAAAGAAGAAUUUAUAAAAAUUAGGUCUGUUCGACCUUUAAUCUCUU